rnacentral:tRNA from 2 species
UGGGGGUAUAGCUCAGUUGGGAGAGCACCUGCCUUGCAAGCAGGGGGUCACGAGUUCGAGUCUCGUUAUCUCCAU